GUCAGGGUGGCCGAGUGGUCUAAGGCGCCAGACUCAAGUUCUGGUCCACAAUUGUGGGCGUGGGUUCGAACCCCACUCCUGACA